AACGAACGCUGGCGGCAGGCUUAACACAUGCAAGUCGAGCGCCCCGCAAGGGGAGCGGCAGACGGGUGAGUAACGCGUGGGAAACUACCCUUUGGUACGGAAUAACACAGAGAAAUUUGUGCUAAUACCGUAUGUGCCCUUCGGGGGAAAGAUUUAUCGCCAUAGGAUGUGCCCGCGUAGGAUUAGCUAGUUGGUGUGGUAAUGGCGCACCAAGGCGACGAUCCUUAGCUGGUCUGAGAGGAUGACCAGCCACACUGGGACUGAGACACGGCCCAGACUCCUACGGGAGGCAGCAGUGGGGAAUAUUGGACAAUGGGCGCAAGCCUGAUCCAGCCAUGCCGCGUGAGUGAUGAAGGCCUUAGGGUUGUAAAGCUCUUUCACCCACGACGAUAAUGACGGUAGUGGGAGAAGAAGCCCCGGCUAACUUCGUGCCAGCCGCCGCGGUAAGAC
rnacentral:rRNA from 1 species